UCUCUUUCUAUGACAUAGACUGACCAGGUGAAACUGAGGAUACAAAACACUCUCUUUCUAUGACAUAGACUGACCAGGUGAAUCCAGGAGAAGCCAUGAUCCCUAAUGUCACUUGUUAAAUUCACUUCAUUCAGUGUAGAUUAAGGGAGGAGACAGUUUAAAGAAGGAUUUUUAAGCCUUGAGACAAUUGAGACAUGGAUUGUGUAUGUGUACCAUUCAGAGGAUGAAUGGGCAAGACAAAAUAUUUAAGUGUCGUUGAACGCAGUUUGGUAGUAGGUGCCAGAGGCACCGGUUUGUGUCAAGAACUGCAACGCUGCUGGGUUUUUCACGCUCAACAGUUUCCCUUGUGCAUCAAGAAUGGUCCACCACCCAGAGGUUAUCCAACCAACUUGACACAACUGUGGGAAGCAUUGGAGUGAACAUGGGCCAGCAUCCCUGUGGAACGCUUACAACACCUCGUAGAGUCAACAUGGGCCAGCAUCCCUGUGGAACGCUUACAACACCUUGUAGAGUCCGUGCCCUGACGAAUUGAGGCUGUUCUGAGGGCAAAAGGGGGAGGUGCAACUCAAUAUUUUGUACACUCAGUGUAUGUGAUUGUAUACAAAUGUAAGCAAGGUUUGAAAUUGUUAUGUUUUAGUCAAAUGUUAUAUCUGGAUUGGCUUCCAAUCAAUUUUACAGUCUACAAAUUAUUUGUAAUUAUGUUCCAGCCCCCUGACCAUCCACUCAAGAAAAAAUCUUCCCGCGGCUGAAUUUAGUCGAUGAUCCCUGUCCUAUCGAGACAGCCGAAGAACCCUUUUAGGAUCAAGAAAGCACUUUUACAUUUAAAAAAAUAUAUAUAUAAGAGCAUCGUUUUCUGAGGAAGCCUGUGUUUUUUUACAGGCUGUAAACCUAUUGAUGCUGAUAGGUUAUGCUGAUAGGUUGUGCUGAUAGGAUAGUGUCUCUGAGGGGUUGCGUAUCCAUUAGACUACAGUAAGACAUCACAGCUAAGAAAGACCACGUUAAUUGUUUUCAAAAUUAUCCGGUGGAAGGUUGUACUGACACAAAGACCCCAGGAGCAAAAGUCAGAUAGUGUACCAAGAUGGCACCAUAUUCCCUGUAUCGGUACUACUUUCGACAAGAGCCCUAUGACAAUUGAGAUACAUCCGCAGUCAGUGAUUCGUCCGUGAUGUGAAUGCGUGGCGGCCAUUGGUGACGAGCUGGAAAAGAAUCAGCUAUAUAAGUGAAACAAAAGUUUUUGUUCGUCACAACUUGCGACAUGGAAGAAUUGCAUAUGCAGGUGUGAACAAGUAGCAACAGCCUGUGCCGUUGGUUGUUUUCUUUCUCGUGAUGCUGUGUGUGUUCCAUCACUGUGACAGUGUGUGUGAUGGUGUGUGUGGGGUUGACAGUAAACAUCAGAACAGGCCUCACGGUUUUGCACACACACACACACACACACACACACACACACACAUGCACACACAAACACACGCACACAUAAGAAUACACAUACACCCUCAGAGGGCUGGAGAGAAAGUAAGGGCUUUGACAACACUACUCCUCCUAGACUAACAUUAUAACACCAUGUUUCAUUACAGCUACUCCUCCUAGACUAGCAUUACAACACCAUGUUUCAUUACAGCUACUCCUCCUAGACUAACAUUACAACACCAUGGUUCAUUACAGCUACUCCUCCUAGACUAGAUUUACAACACCAUGUUUCAUUACAGCUACUCCUCCUAGACUAGCAUUACAACACCAUGUUUCAUUACAGCUACUCCUCCUAGACUAGCAUUACAACACCAUGGUUCAUUACAGCUACUCCUGCUAGACUAGCAUUACAAC
ensembl:lncRNA